rnacentral:rRNA from 1 species
CAGCACCUCGAGUGGUCAGGAUGAUUAUUGGGCCUAAAGCAUCCGUAGCCGGCUCUGUAAGUUUUCGGUUAAAUCUGUACGCUCAACGUACAGGCUGCCGGGAAUACUGCAGAGCUAGGGAGUGGGAGAGGUAGACGGUACUCGGUAGGAGGGGGUAAAAUCCUUUGAUCUAUUGAUGACCACCUGUGGCGAAGGCGGUCUACCAGAACACGUCCGACGGUGAGGGAUGAAAGCUGGGGGAGCAAACCGGAUUAGAUACCCGCGUAGUCC